AAGGAUAUGAUGAUAAUUGAUGAGUGAUUUAGUUUGACAGAAAAAGGAAAGCUGAUGUCAAUCUCUUCAAAAAGAUUUGAGACCUUUUUGGUAUGUGGUGGAUCGCAAACUCUUCUUUCAAGGGAAGGAGAGAGAGAGAGAGAGAGAGAGAGAGAGAGAGAGAGAGAGAGAAUCUUGUCAUUAUACACAUUCCCAAUUUGUACAUAGUAUAUAUAUCGUGCAUGUAUAUAUAUAAUAAUAUGGUAGUGUCUCGUCCUCAAGAGUAAAAUCCAACGAUUUUUUUUAUUUUUAUUUUUUGGACUUGGAGUGGAGCUAGAUACACUAUCAAUUAUCAAAGGUGAAUGUCCACUUCAAGUGUCACAUUAGUCGACCUAGUGGGCUCUCUCUCUCUCUGUCUCUCUCUAUCUCUCUCAUAUAGAAAAUAAUAAGAAUGAUAGCUGGAACCAGGCACUCUCAAGAACAAGGAAAAGAGCCAAAAAAAAUCCAAUUCAGAUGAUCCAAAAUUGACUUCCCUCUUCCAACUUAAGUUUAUUUUAUAACUUUAAGAUUUGAAAAUACAUGUGGUAUACCGCAGCUAUGGAUUUUAUCAAAUAGGUUAUGUAUAGUGCUAGUCCAUUAUUAGGUCAGAAAAUUAAAACUAU
rnacentral:lncRNA from 1 species